CCCGUCGUGUGCGUUCGGCACGUCGUCAGUACGAGUUUGAUCCUCGCGUACAGGACGAACGCUGGCGGCGUGCUUAACACAUGCAAGUCGAACGAAAGGACCCUGCUUGCAGGGUACGUCGAGUGGCGAACGGGUGAGUAACACGUGGGUGAGUCUGCCCUGCACUUCGGGAUAAGCCUGGGAAACUGGGUCUAAUACCGGAUAGGAGCCAUUUUAGUGUGAUGGUUGGAAAGUUUUUUCGGCGUAGGAUGAGCUCGCGGCCUAUCAGCUUGUUGUGGGGUAAUGGCCUACCAAGGCGGCGACGGGGUAGCCGGGCCUGAGAGGGUGGACGGCCACAUUGGGACUGAGAUACGGCCCAGACUCCUACGGGAGGCAGCAGUGGGGAAUAUUGCACAAUGGGCGCAAGCCUGAUGCAGCGACGCCGCAUGGGGGAUGACGGCCUUCGGGUUGUAAACUCCUUUCGCUAGGGACGAAGCUUUUUGUGACGGUACCUAGAUAAGAAGCACCGGCUAACUACGUG
rnacentral:rRNA from 1 species